rnacentral:lncRNA from 1 species
GCCAGUAAAAGCAGAAGCAGAAACUGACCUGCGCUGAUCGUUAUUCACAUUGGGCCCUUGUUGGUCAUCUACUUUAUAUAUAGUGUAAUCGUUCUUAAAGAGGGAUCAUCCCAGACCAGCCGCAUUGGCAUCACCUGGGAACAAGUGUGAAAUGCAGAUUCCGGG